GGAGUAAUGUCUGGGAAACUGCCUGAUGGAGGGGGAUAACUACUGGAAACGGUAGCUAAUACCGCAUAACGUCGCAAGACCAAAGUGGGGGACCUUCGGGCCUCAUGCCAUCAGAUGUGCCCAGAUGGGAUUAGCUAGUAGGUGGGGUAACGGCUCACCUAGGCGACGAUCCCUAGCUGGUCUGAGAGGAUGACCAGCCACACUGGAACUGAGACACGGUCCAG
rnacentral:rRNA from 1 species